UAGGGAAUCUUCGGCAAUGGGGGGAACCCUGACCGAGCAACGCCGCGUGAGUGAAGAAGGUUUUCGGAUCGUAAAGCUCUGUUGUUAAGGAAGAACGAGUGUGAGAAUGGAAAGUUCAUACUGUGACGGUACUUAACCAGAAAGGGACGGCUAACUACGUGCCAGCAGCCGCGGUAAUACGUAGGUCCCGAGCGUUGUCCGGAUUUAUUGGGCGUAAAGCGAGCGCAGGCGGUCAGAUAAGUCUGAAGUUAAAGGCAGUGGCUCAACCAUUGUAGGCUUUGGAAACUGUUUAACUUGAGUGCAGAAGGGGAGAGUGGAAUUCCAUGUGUAGCGGUGAAAUGCGUAGAUAUAUGGAGGAACACCGGUGGCGAAAGCGGCUCUCUGGUCUGUAACUGACGCUGAGGCUCGAAAGCGUGGGGAGCGAACAGGAUUAGAUACCCUGGUAGUCCACGCCGUAAACGAUGAGUGCUAGGUGUUAGGUCCUUUCCGGGACUUAGUGCCGCAGCUAACGCAUUAAGCACUCCGCCUGGGGAGUACGACCGCAAGGUUG
rnacentral:rRNA from 1 species